AUAAUAACUAAUAACUAAACAGCCAAUAAACAUUAAAUAUAUUAUCAAAGUACGUAUUAGUUCAAUAUUAUUUUGUUAUGAUUAGAUUACGAGUUCAAAUUGAACUGAUGAUCAUCUCACAGAAUUACUGAGAACUGCUCUUACACCAAUGCAACCAGAUCUUAAGUAGCGUACUAAAAAAAUGUACACGAAAAAAUCACCACGCAAACAAAUUUAGCUUAACGUUUAUUUUUUUUACUUAUUAUUCAUAUUAAUUUAUUAUAAAUAUUUGUUUAUUAAUCUGUAUUCUAUAGCCUUAUAUCUAUAUAAUAAAAACAUUUAUUUUAUUUUUUUUUUUUAUAAACGUAUUAAGUUCAUAAUAAUAAUAAGUAAAUUUUGGUUUUUGUAAAUAAGAUUGUAAAUAAGUAGUUGAC